rnacentral:rRNA from 1 species
CCUACGGGUGGCAGCAGUGGGGAAUAUUGGACAAUGGGCGAAAGCCUGAUCCAGCCAUGCCGCGUGUGUGAAGAAGGCCUUCGGGUUGUAAAGCACUUUCAGUGGGGAAGAAAGCCUUGGGGCUAAUACCCUCGAGGAAGGACAUCACCCACAGAAGAAGCACCGGCUCAACUCCGUGCCAGCAGCCGCGGUAAUACGGAGGGUGCGAGCGUUAAUCGGAAUUACUGGGCGUAAAGCGCGCGUAGGCGGUCUGAUAAGCCGGUUGUGAAAGCCCCGGGCUCAACCUGGGAACGGCAUCCGGAACUGUCAGGCUAGAGUGCAGGAGAGGAAGGUAGAAUUCCCGGUGUAGCGGUGAAAUGCGUAGAGAUCGGGAGGAAUACCAGUGGCGAAGGCGGCCUUCUGGACUGACACUGACGCUGAGGUGCGAAAGCGUGGGUAGCAAACAGGAUUAGAUACCCCAGUAGUC